rnacentral:rRNA from 2 species
UAUCCUAACCGUGCGAAGGUAGCGUAAUCACUUGUUCUUUAAAUGGGGACUAGUAUGAAUGGCAUCACGAGGGUUAUACUGUCUCCCUUUUCUAAUCAGUGAAACUAAUCUCCCCGUGAAGAAGCGGGGAUAAAAAUAUAAGACGAGAAGACCCUAUGGAGCUUUAAAUUUCAAUUCAAAGCAUAAUGAAAUAGAAUUUUAGGUUGGGGUGACCGCGGAGCACAAAACAACCUCCACAUUGAACUAGGCCUACUGCCUUAAGCAACGAAUUACAAUCCAAUGCACAAAAAAAUUUACAUUCAUUGACCCAAUUUUCUUGAUCAACGAACCAAGUUACCCUAGGGAUAACAGCGCAAUCCUCUUCAAGAGCCCAUAUCGCCAAGAGGGUUUACGACCUCGAUGUUGGAUCAGGGUAUCCCAGUGGCGCAGCCGUUACUAAUGGUUCGUUUGUUCAACGAUUAAAACCCUACGUGAUCU